rnacentral:rRNA from 1 species
GGAAUAUUGGACAAUGGGGGCAACCCUGAUCCAGCAAUGCCGCGUGUGUGAAGAAGGCCUGCGGGUUGUAAAGCACUUUCAGAAGAGAAGAAAAGCGACUCGAUAAUACCGGGUUGUCUUUACGUAACCUUCAGAAGAAGCACCGUCCAACUCCGUGCAAGCAGCCGCGGUAAUACGGAGGGUGCAAGCGUUAAUCGGAAUUACUGGGCGUAAAGCGCGCGUAGGCGGUUCGAUAAGUCGGAUGUGAAAUCCCAGGGCUUAACCUUGGAAUUGCAUUCGAUACUGUCGGGCUAGAAUGUGGAAGAGGGAAGUGGAAUUCCAGGUGUAGCGGUGAAAUGCGUAGAUAUCUGGAGGAACAUCAGUGGCGAAGGCGGCUUCCUGGUCCAACAUUGACGCUGAGGUGCGAAAGCGUGGGGAGCA